rnacentral:tRNA from 2 species
GUCCCCUUCGUCUAGAGGCCUAGGACACCGCCCUUUCACGGCGGUAACAGGGGUUCGAAACCCCUAGGGGACGCCA